UUGAAACACCGGUUCUCGUUCGAUCACUGAAGUUAAGCAACGUCGUACCUGGACAGUAACUAAAUGGGUGACCGCUUGUGAAUACCAG